GAGUUUGAUCGUGGCUCAGGUUGAACGCUGGCGGCAGGCCUAACACAUGCAAGUCGAGCGGAUGAAGGGAGCUUGCUCCUGGAUUCAGCGGCGGACGGGUAAGUAAUGCCUAGGAAUCUGCCUGGUAGUGGGGGGAUAACGUCCGGAAACGGGCGCUAAUACCGCAUACGUCCUGAGGGAGAAAGUGGGGGAUCUUCGGACCUCACGCUAUCAGAUGAGCCUAGGUCGGAUUAGCUAGUUGGUGGGGUAAAGGCCUACCAAGGCGACGAUCCGUAACUGGUCUGAGAGGAUGAUCAGUCACACUGGAACUGAGACACGGUCCAGACUCCUACGGGAGGCAGCAGUGGGGAAUAUUGGACAAUGGGCGAAAGCCUGAUCCAGCCAUGCCGCGUGUGUGAAGAAGGUCUUCGGAUUGUAAAGCACUUUAAGUUGGGAGGAAGGGCAGUAAGUUAAUACCUUGCUGUUUGACGUUACAACAGAAUAAGCACCGGCUAACUUCGUGCCAGCAGCCGCGGUAAG
rnacentral:rRNA from 1 species